rnacentral:rRNA from 1 species
UACGAAGGGUGCAAACGUUGCUCGGAAUUAUUGGGCGUAAAGCGCACGUAGGCGGCUUCGCAAGUCCCAUGUGAAAUCCCACGGCUCAACCGUGGAAGUGCAUGGGAAACUGCCGAGCUUGAGUACUUAAGAGGAUCGCGGAAUUCCCGGUGUAGAGGUGAAAUUCGUAGAUAUCGGGAGGAACACCAGUGGCGAAGGCGGCGAUCUGGGAAGAUACUGACGCUGAGGUGCGAAAGCGUGGGGAGCAAACAGG